AUGAAGUGUAAUCAGGGAGGCUUCCCCUCCCUCUCGAUUGCUACUCAGCACGGACAGACUAUAAGCCUGAUGGUCGUUCCCCAUCAGGCCUGAAAACCGCAAAACGCUGAAUAACAAUCUUCGGGGGUAGCGCUGCUACCCUUUUUUUUCUGGA
rnacentral:sRNA from 1 species